CCUACGGGAGGCUGCAGUAGGGAAUCUUCCACAAUGGACGAAAGUCUGAUGGAGCAACGCCGCGUGAGUGAAGAAGGGUUUCGGCUCGUAAAGCUCUGUUGCGGGGGAAAAAAGGCAGCAUCAGGAAAUGGGUGCUGACUGAUGGUGCCCCGCCAGAAAGUCACGGCUAACUACGUGCCAGCAGCCGCGGUAAUACGUAGGUGGCGAGCGUUAUCCGGAAUGAUUGGGCGUAAAGGGUGCGCAGGCGGUCCUGCAAGUCUGGAGUGAAACGCAUGAGCUCAACUCAUGCAUGGCUUUGGAAACUGGAGGACUGGAGAGCAGGAGAGGGCGGUGGAACUCAAUGUGUAGCGGUAAAAUGCGUAGAUAUAUGGAAGAACACCAGUGGCGAAGGCGGCCGCCUGGCCUGUUGCUGACGCUGAGGCACGAAAGCGUGGGGAGCAAAUAGGAUUAGAUACCCCAGUAGUC
rnacentral:rRNA from 1 species